UACGUAGGGGGCAAGCGUUGUCCGGAUUUAUUGGGCGUAAAGAGCGUGUAGGCGGCUAGGUAGGUCCGUUGUAAAAACUCGAGGCUCAACCUCGAGACGCCGAUGGAAACCAUCUAGCUAGAGUCCGGAAGAGGAGAGUGGAAUUCCUGGUGUAGCGGUGAAAUGCGCAGAUAUCGGAAGGAACACCUGUGGCGAAAGCGGCUCACUGGACCAUAACUGACGCUGAGGCGCGAAAGCUAGGGGAGCAAACAGG
rnacentral:rRNA from 1 species